rnacentral:rRNA from 1 species
CCUACGGGAGGCAGCAGUGAGGAAUAUUGGUCAAUGGACGAGAGUCUGACCCAGCCAAGUAGCGUGAAGGAUGACUGCCAUAUGGGUUGUAAACUUCUUUUAUAUGGGAAUAAAAUGUUCCACGUGUGGGAUUUUGUAUGUACAAUAUGAAUAAGGAUAGGCUAACUCCGUGCCAGCAGCCGCGGUAAUACGGAGGAUCCGAGCGUUAUCCGGAUUUAUUUGGUUUAAAGGAAGCGUAGGUGGAUUGUUAAGUCAGUUGUGAAAGUUUGCGGCUCAACCGUAAAAUUGCAGUUGAGACUGGCAGUCUUGAGUACAGUAGAGGUGGGCGGAAUUCGUGGUGUAGCGGUGAAAUGCUUAGAUAUCACGAAGAACUCCGAUUGCGAAGGCAGCUCACUGGACUGCAACUGACACUGAGGCUCGAAAGUGUGGGUAUCAAACAGGAUUAGAUACCCUAGUAGUC